rnacentral:rRNA from 1 species
UGGGGAAUCUUGGACAAUGGGGGCAACCCUGAUCCAGCCAUGCCGCGUGAGUGAUGAAGGCCUUAGGGUCGUAAAGCUCUUUCGCCUGUGAAGAUAAUGACGGUAGCAGGUAAAGAAACCCCGGCUAACUCCGUGCCAGCAGCCGCGGUAAUACGGAGGGGGUUAGCGUUGUUCGGAAUUACUGGGCGUAAAGCGCACGUAGGCGGACCAGAAAGUUGGGGGUGAAAUCCCGGGGGCUCAACCCCGGAACUGCCUCCAAAACUAUUGGUCUAGAGUUCGAGAGAGGUGAGUGGAAUUCCAAGUGUAGAGGUGAAAUUCGUAGAUAUUUGGAGGAACACCAGUGGCGAAGGCGGCUCACUGGCUCGAUACUGACGCUGAGGUGCGAAAAGUGUGGGGAGCAAAACAGGAUUAGAUACCCCUGGUAGUCCACACCGUAAAACGAUGAAUGCCAGUCGUCGGGUAGCAUGCUAUUCGGUGACACACCUAACGGAUUAAGCAUUCCGCCUGGGGAGUACGGUCGCAAGAUUAAAACUCAAAGGAAUUG